AUAGUAUACUAUACUAUAUAUAUGUUAGAUUGAUUAGAAGUGCUGUAUUAACAUUUUAAUAGUAUGGUAAAUGUAGUUUUGUAGUUAAAAUAGAAACUAUGUAUGUGGGGUUUUUUUUUUUACGAGAAUGUGAUACUCACUUCGAGAUAACAAUCACAGAACACCCAAAUCUUCCAGAGAAGAGGAAUUUAUGGUUCUCUUUUCUAAUUUCUUCAGGCCUUGCUCAGACUUGAAGACACUGUGGGAAUAAGAAGAAGGAGUUGACAUAUUCCAGACAGAGUUUCCUAUUUUAAAUAGAAUGUGUGCAUAACCAUGAAGUCUGCAUGAAUAUGACAUUAUGAUUUUUACUUGUAUGAGUAUGAUUUUUACAAGUAUGAGUAUGAUUUUUAAGGGUGAUUCCUUUGUUCACGAGACAUGCUUGUCAUGGCUUAAGUGCCCGAGAGCAUCCAGAUGUCUGUAAUUCUUUGAUUUUUAUUGUCUUGCAAUUGUCCUAACUCUAAAUUUUAUUACUCUAAUUGUAUUACUAUUUUUAUAACCAUUUCAUUAUUUUUAAACUUUUUUAAAAACCAAGUGAUUGGCGUUUUUCACACAACCCAGCCAUGAAUACCCAUGGCACAGCUUCUCUGGACUACCUCACCACCCUCACAGUGAGGUAUUUCUUCCCAAUAUCCUGUCCUCUUUCAGCUUGAAUCCAUCCCCCCUUGUCCUGUCACUCCAUAACCCUGUAAACCAUUGCUCUCCAGAUUUCUCCUUAGAAAUAAGGCUUUAUUUAUUAAACCUCUCCUUAUAAUUUAGGCCCUUUCUGAAAGGCCACAGUUAGGUCACAGCAGAGCCUCCUCUCCAGGCUAAGCAAUCUGUGAAAAACACCAAUCACUUGUUUUAAAAUUUUAAAAGUAAUAAAAUAGUUAUAAAAAUAAUAAUAAAAUUAGAGCAGUAAGAAUUUGGACAAUCAGAGUUAGGACAAUAAAAAGCAAAGAAUUACAGAUGUCUGGAUUCUUUUCUCUUGAAAGCAUGGCUCGCUAACAAAGGAUUAACCCUUAAAAGCAACAGCCUGUUGGAUAUUCAUACAUGCUGCAUAAAUUCUUUUCAAACAAAGGGUGUUCUCUGGUUAUUGUCAACUUCUUCCCCUUAAUCCUGGUGGCUCCUUAAAGACUGAGAGGAGGUAGAAGGAUGUUUGUCUUUUCCAAUAAGGAGGCAGUAACUCUUAGGGGUCUUGUUGCUGUUACCGCUGUGCAAAGAAUUUCUUGAUAAUCUCAUCCCUUUCUUGAGCUAGUCAAAAAAUAUCUUACAUCACAUAGUUUCUACUAUUACAUUAUGUUAUAACCUAAAACUCUACUGACCACACUACUUAAAAAGGAUUAAUACAGUACUACAAAAUAACUUCCCAACAUAACACGUAUAGUAUUCAAUAUAAUAUUUGCAAAUAGCCAAUAAUUUAACAUGCAUUUUUCACACAAUCCCAAUUCCCUCAGCCUCUCCUCGUAGCAGACAACCUCCAUCCUGCAAACCACCUUUUGUCUCUUCUCUGGACUCUCCCCACAAGUCCAUGUCCUUCCUGUGCUGGGUGGGGAUCCCAGAGCUCGAUGGGAGAAUGCAGAAACUUCAAAAGCUCUGUAAACAUUCAGUAGGCAAUAUCUGGUUUUAGUUCCAAUAUUGAAAAGGCAGUGUGUUUUUUUGAAUGUAAUUUCUUGAAGGUACUUUGAAAAUCCCUCUGGUAGUGCUGCCUCAGAACAAAUAAAGAGUGCAGAGAUUGAGAUUGCAGUCCUUGAAUUUUUGGAAUAAUUUUGCAGGCUGCAUGCCUUCAUUUCUAGGAAUUAUCAGGCAGGCUUUUUUCAGAAACAAUUUGAAGUUGCAAUGGUAUACAUAUAAAAAAAGGAGUUCUUGCAGGGGAAAAACUUCAUAAUCAAUGAAUUAGUUUUUGCUUAAGCUAAAAAUUGUAUUGGGACAGGCCAUCUCUUUGUAAAGAAGCAGGAAUAUUAGGCAGAGUUCUUGGUUCAGUAUAAUUUCAGGAAAAAAAAACCAACCAUUAUUCCAGAUCCCAGAGUAUGUAGGAAGUAUAUAAAGAAAAACAUGGAUUAAAGGGAUUCAAAAAUAAUAGCCAAAGGCAAAUAAGCUAUUGACUGAGGUGUCAUUCACUGGUGGAAGAAAACAGUGUGUACUGCAGUUGUUUACAGCAGAGCAUCCUGUGGGAAGUGUGCCAAUGGAUGCCUUAUGAAAUGCAUACACAUGGCAAAUUCAGAAUGUGAAAGGCAGCAGUUCAGAUCAAGUUUUAGGGUUCUAUUUAUUUUUCUUUGUUAAUUGCCUUAGAGUUAGUUGUUAAGAUAAAGUACAGCUUUGAAAUCCAAACCUGAACAAUACAUUAAAAUUUCUUUUUCAGAAAGGCUGGCCUUUACCGUUUUUUACCUCCAUCAGCAGUACAGUCCAUGUAACUAUAAUUUACUAUCAGUGUUCAAAAGUGCUUAUUUGUUAUUGAGUCAAUGUAGAUAAAGGAACUGGUCUCACAGAAUCAAAAAUCUUGACAUUUUAUAAAUUCUUUUAAAAAUUAAGUCCUUUAACUACCCGUAGAGAAGACAUUCUGAAAAACAAACACAAAAAACCCUGUCAACCUUACACAAAGUAAGGAAGAAUUCAUGGCUUCUAUAUUUCAUCCAGCAGAACAUGCCACACUUACAUGUGCUCAGAGUCACUUUGAGGACAGCUGAUUUACUCUUGCAGAAUUUGAAUGCAAUAAGGCUGAAAAAAUGCAUCUUUCCACUCCUCAGACGGGAUUUCACAGCCUGCCUGCCAGUUCCAUAAAAGUGACAUUCACUCCUCAGGUUGGCUUCCUCCUCAAUUCCCUAAGGUUCAUUAGAAUUACUUCUGUAUAGCACUCUCAUAUGCAUUGAAAUGGUCAUUUAUGUUGUUUAUUUAAAAGUCCCUAAAUGCUAGAAAUAUUGUAAAAAUUACUUCAAAUUUCUUAGAAAGAGUAGCUGCAGCACCUUAAUAACCAAUUAUGAUUCAUCACCCAUAAAAUGGGCUGGGAACACACUUUCAGCUUGGACAGGAACUUGCUUCAUCAGAGGUUGCCAAACAAGUCUGGAGAAACAAAACAAAGGGCACAGGGUUCUUUAAAAUAUCUGUGCAGCCACCACUUCCUCUCUCCUGCCCUUUGCUUAAGGUGAAGGAAACCCAGCAUUUCAUUGUUAUUGCUGCUGUUUAUUAUGAAACCUGUAAUAAAAAUCAAGGGUGUUUUUUUCCUUCAUCUUCCUUCUCUAAAUCCAGCAAAACUCUCUGAGGUAUAAAUAACCAAGAGCUGUUUAUGGUGGAAGCUUCACAGCUUCAUGGCCUUGAUUGUGUCCACACAUAGUGAUGCUUCACAGUUUUCACAGCUGUUAUUUCCUGUAGGAAGACUAUGGAAUAAACAAAGUUACUCUAGUUUAUCAAUAUAGAAAUAUUUUAAUCUAAAUAAAACCCACAUGCUAGAAAGGAACGCAAGUGCAAGUGUUUUGUGACGUGGCUGGAUUUGUCUGCAGUAUUUUUGCUCUGGCCUUUGACUGCUCUGUUCUGCUGUGUCAGGGAGAAGGCAAUACAAAAUCAUUGGAGCAUGGACUAAAACAAUGAAUAAAGUGACAGAAAUAAGGAGAUUUCCUAGGAAGUACAAACUGGCACUGUGAGCACUUGCAAAGUCAGUAAGCCUUACGUUGAAGACAGAAAAUAUUCUUUGAUGGGUGAACAUCUUCGUGGUCUAUAUUCAGGUGUGAAAGGAAAGGAAUUGCUCCCUGUAAAUCAGGAUUUGCUGAGCAGUUGGACUAACUGCUGCUGCCCAAAGCUGAGGAGUCCUCAGGGAUUUACCAAUGAUUGUUUGCAGGCUCUUCAUCUGUGAUCUCUGCAAACUAACAAAGCAGAGAGAAUGGACAAUGUGAUGGACAAAUUUAGUAUUGAUAAGAACUUGGCAACACACUUGGCAAAGCUUCACUCAAACCUCCUGAAGUAAUUUUAAUCACUCAGAAAAUGAACCUGGCUGACCCUGUUUGGAGUACAAUAAAACAGGCCAGGGAGGCAAACAAAAACAGAAGGGGGAAAUUGUACUGCACUUCAUUUAAUAAGGCUGCUUUCAUAAUCACUAAAAAGUGUAUUGUUCCUUGAUCUGAAAGAACCUCCACACAUUCACCUGACAUUUAUUAUUGGUGGUUUAUACUCAUGAGUGUUUAAUAUACUGCUUGCCAGACUGUAAUUUAGUCAAGAGACCUUCACUAACCAGAGGAAGAAUACACUAGCACAAAAAAUUAUUUAUUAUUGCUGUUUCAUAGGAAAAUCAUUGUAUCAUGGCUAAUACCACUGUUGCUUGUUCUCUUGACCAAGUAAACUUUUUCCUUUACUGAGGAAAACAAUAAGCACACCAUUUAUUUCUUUGCACCCACUUCUAGUGUAUGGGAACAGAAGACUGUUGCAUUGUUUAAAGAAAUAAAUUACCAUUUUUAAGUUAACCAGAAUUAAAUUUCAGAUACUUACAUUUGUAGUUCAUUAUAUCCAGCUAUAUAUAUAUAUGGCAAAUAAGUAUAUUUCAUUUUUGUGUUUUAUCCAGUGCAAAAAAAUGCACUUCUAGACUAUCCUUUCCUUUAUGGUAUUUGUAAAAAAUAUAUGCCUAGUAUUAGAUUUGUCACACUGAUCCUGCAGACUGGAAAAAAAAACCAUGCCCAGCUGAUAAAACAAAACUGAUAAAUCAGGUUUGUUCUAUGCAAUAUGAACAGAAAUGGGAUUGGGACAUUUUGGGGAGAAAUAGUAUGGUAUGACUCCAAGAAAACCUAUACAGAAAAAGAACCAGAAGUGAUUUUUAGAUAAAAUAAUCACAUGAAUUAUACUUUCCUCAUGCAGGGAAAAAAAGAUUUUGUGUUAAAGUCUGACGUUGUAGGAGCACUGAUCCACUCGUUCAUUUUGGCAGGGCCCCUCAGGACGGAGUCUGCAGGAUAAAUACACAUUGUUAGCAUUCCUAAAGGAGCAUCCAUGCUUUGUUGCCAGGAAACAAUAAUGGAAGUAUAGGGAUGCCAGUUUGAUGACAGGGAUACAGGGCAGUGGCAUUAAUCCCAUGCUUUGCAGACCUGCAAUCUCUAUUAUUUGCAAACAUAAAUGCCAGCACAUCCUGUCAUUUUUUUCUGAGUAUUGCUUGGCUAAUGGAUUUAGAGAAAUGUAGAAUACUAGAAGAGCUCAAGCCAACUACAGCAUCAUCUUAGGUCUCUGAAAGCCUUCCCCUACCCUGUAGAAUGUGGUUUUAUGAUAUAUUGUGCUCAUGCAUAAAAUAUUUGUGCUUUUUGUUUUCUAGGUAAGAAGAGUACAACUAAAAUGACUUGCAUGUGCAAGGAUCAGGGUCCAUCAAGUGUUGUCAUUAUUAAGCCAAGGGAUGCUCGUAUUUUCACUGUAAGAGGCAAGGAAAUUAAGAUGAGGCUUUUCUAGAUAAGUUUGCCUGUGAGCAGAAUUAAGAUACACCUUUGAUAAGUCCCAAGGGUGGGGAUGCAGUGGUCGGGAUUUUAUGUGAAUUUGAGUGCUUUUUUUUUUUUUUUCUUGUGUGCAGAAUCUUCUAGUGGCAAAGAAACAAGUUUGAUAUUUAUGCAUUCAUAAAAUAAUAGAAUUUUUAAUGCUUUGUUCCAUACAGGGUACUUUAUGCUGUCCUGCUGACUUUCAAGGGAUUAAUCUCUAGUAAGGGUAAUGGAACCUUGAAAAACCUUAUGAUUCUGCUUCCUUGAUUUUUACCACUCCUUCAGAAUAAUUUGUUCAAAUGUGUGUAUUAGGAAUAUAGUGAAUUAUAGCAAAGACCUCAGAGAAAUCUAGAUUUUUAUUUUUUUUAAAAGCAAGAGCUAAGUUUCACUUUGACUUAUCACUUGUAAUUUGGCUGAAAAUUUCCAAGGCAUGGAAAAGCCUCAUGAAAUACCUUAUUGCACUGGAGUUCUGCUGGACUUGCAUACAGGAGACUUCUUGCAGGUCAGGGGGCUGAGUAUAAUCCUCCAGGAAAGCUUCUGUUCAUGCCACUCAUGGCCUUGCUCUGCAGCCUGAUGUCUUACAAGAUGAAGACUGAAGAACAUUUUCCUGCCUGAAAUCUAGAUACCUCACAGCAAACAUAGCUGAGUUCCCGGGUUUAACAUGCCUGACAGGUGCUCUUCACAGCCUUUAACUCUUGCUGAGGAUGUUGCCAUGAGCAUUAUCUGUUUUGCUUCUCCUGAUGGAGAAGGAAGAAAUGACUCUCAGUAACAUUACAUACAGUAAUUCAUUAAACAUUAUUAGAUCUUUCUGCAGUUUGCUUGCUUGCUUAUCAGGCCUUGUCAUGUUUUCUUUUGGACACAACACAUUGCCUUGGUGUUAAUUGAAAAUCAGAAAAGAGCAAAAGGGAGAGCUCAGAGACUGCCACUGUCCAUGGAUUGUAAAUAAUAAGAACUUGAUAAGAAAAAAAAUAUCAGAACAUCUCCCUAUUAUAUUUAAUAAUGGAACAACAUACUGCUAUGUUUUUGGAUGAUUGGAUGUUCUUGGACGGGAAAAUUAAUGAAUUGAACAAUAAACAAUCUCAUUUCUCUUUCCAGCUGUGUAGAAAUUAAAUGUCAAAUACAGCCACUUAUUCUUCAUUUCCACUUCUCUGUAGCAUACUUUCCCUUAUCAGGCUGCUUAAGUGAAAGUGAAGCAGAGAGGGGACAAAAAACAACCUCAUUUCUAAAAAGGCAGAAACACAUUUAAAAUGCUAAAGCAUACUCUGCAAAACUCAAAGAGUGCUCUUCAUAAUGAGAAAAGUUUCUGUGCAAAGCCAUCUCCCAUGAAUAUUUUGACAUAAAAACAUAGUGGCUGUGUUUUCACAGAGUUCAAGGUAACAGUUGUGUGUCAAAGGAGUAAGUUGUCUCCUCCAGAAUACAUAUCUGUGACCAAUACAUCUGCUUCCCUGUUAUAUACCUUUUUUGCUCAUUUCCACAUGAAGUAUGUUUAAAAUGCUUUGAAACUGAAGAGGAAAGCACAGCAAAUAUGAAUGUGUAUAUAUAUGCAUAUAUAACCAAGUGGUUUCCUGAAAUAAGGUUUAGCCAGGUGAGAGGUUCACCCCUUUGUAGUCUUAAGCCACACCAGGGGAGGUUCAUGUGGGACUUCUUGAAGUUUCUUCCCAGAAGGGGUGAUUAGACAGUGGAAUGAGCUGCUCAUGGAGGUGGUGGAGUCACCGUCCCUGGAAGUGUUUAAGGGAAGACUGGAUGCGCCCUAUCUAGUUUCAAGGUGGUGUUUAAUCAGAGGUUGGACUUGAUGAUCUCAGAGGUCUUUUCCAAGCUAAUUGAAUCUGCAAUUCUGUGAUAUAAGCGUAUAUAUACGACUAUGUUAUCAAUGAAAAUUAGUCCAGCCAAAUU